UGUCUGAUGCCUACCCGAUGCCCCGGAUAGACGAACUGCUGGAUAAGAUGGCACGAGGCCAGUACCUCACUGUUACACAGUCUCCGUUCCACAGACUGGUUAUAUUGUUAAUGUACACUUCUGUUUAUUGAGACUCUGUUUAACGGCCUGCAGGCCAGGCAAACGGACUAUGCGAACUGAUUAUAAAGCGUCUUUCGUCAGUACGAAGGGCCGACCACCCAGCCCUAAGCUUGUGCCGCCACUUAACCCCGUCACCCCACAAAGUCGCCGGCCACCCUGCGAGCAGAGGGUGCCGUUUAUCAACCUGCCCUCAGGCACUGCGGUUUGUGGUUAACUUCAGGUUAAAUGCCUCUCCCGGGCGGGCCCCAUUCGCACCACGAACGGAUGGCACAACCAGACAGGUAGCGGGGACUCGCAUGAUUCUGUACCCGGCCUUCGUUCCAUACAUUCAACGUCGAAGUCCUGCUGGCCAUUGACAGACCCAAAAACCUGGCCGCCAUCGAGGGCCUGGAAACCUACAACUGAACAGCUUUUCAUACGGUGGAAAUCUCGUCCUCUGUUCGUGGAAACAGGGCGCUAUUCGCACACCCAAUGCAUCUAACGGAGAGCUAUCGAAUGAUAUGUAGAGGGAACUAUAUGCACUAUAUAAUGCUUGAGUUAUGCAUUUUUAUGUUGUUUUCUGGUUCAUAAUAAAGCAUGGACGUUUUGGGCACUUGGAGAUAAUUAGAU